UCUGAGAUCAGGGGGCCAGUGUGGUUGGGUUCCGUUGAAGGCUCUCUUCCCAGCUUGCAGCUAACCAGAGAACAUGCAGUCUAUGAUUGCCCAGAGGAGUAUUUGAUUAAACAUCUACCUUGUCACAGAGAUAAACAACGAGCUGUCCUCGGCCUCUGGAGACUAGCCGGAGGACAUGAGGGUACAGCCAUUUGGAAUAAAUGGAACAAAAGAUGAGUAAAAGCACUGCUCAAAAUACUACAAAAUAUUGCAAGAAGAAAUUUCAAUAGAGCUUUAAAAAUGGAGGACAGUGGAGAGAUAUGCUAUGUCUCUAGGUUGGAAGAAUCAAUGUGUAAA